UCUGGGUUGGGUUUUUGGUGUAUCUGGGUUGGGUUUUGAAGUGUUCCAGGAGUUUUUGGUGUAUCUCAGCUGGGUUUUGGUGUAUCUCAGAUGGGUUUUGGUGUAUCUCAGUUGGGUUUUGGUGUAUCUCAGGUGGGUUUUGGUGUAUCUCAGUUGGUUUUUGGUGUAUCUCAGCUGGGUUUUGGUGUAUCUGGGUUGGGUUUUGGGGUGUCCCAGGAGUUUUUGGGGUAUCUCAGUUGGGUUUUGGUGUAUCUCAGUUGGGUUUUGGUGUAUCUGGGUUGGGUUUUGAGGUGUCCCAGUGGUUUUUGGGGUGGGUUUUGCUGUCACCUUGCUGUCCCCGGUGGGGAAGAUG